rnacentral:lncRNA from 1 species
UAAUUCCCCACAUUUCAAACGGUGGAGGAUAAGGGGAAAAUUUCCGAACGCCCAUGGGCCUCCUUCAAACACACGGACAAGAUCAACUUGAUGGAAAAAUUGGAAAAUAAAUCGGCCUCCUCCAAUAUCCUUCAUGAAAACCCCUUUUCCUGGACGCCAAAUACUAGCCAAUCGGCUCCGCAUCAAAUUGAAAUUGAUUGGUUGCUCCGUCAGAAAUCUCCC